rnacentral:misc_RNA from 1 species
AAGGAUCAUUAUCAAACAUGGAAUAUCUUAUUCUUAAACCCACUCUGAGUACCUGUACUUGUUGCUUCCGUGGGCAGUGAACAGUAUGUUUGCGCCUGCCCAUAUGGUGGACCCAUGGGAGAUAUCAUCAAACCCUGCAUUUCGUGAUGCCAGUCUGAUCAUGUUUAUUCAUUAAACGUUAAAACUUUCAACAACGGAUCUCUUGGUUCUC